rnacentral:rRNA from 1 species
UGCCGGCGACCGGCGACGGGUGCGUAACGCGUAUGUAACCUACCUUUGACAGGGGGAUAACAUCGAGAAAUUGGUACUAAUACCCCAUAACAUCACCGGAGGCAUCUUCGGUGGUUGAAAACUCAGGUGGUCAGAGAUGGACAUGCGUUGUAUUAGCUAGUUGGUGAGGUAACGGCUCACCAAGGCGACGAUACAUAGGGGGACUGAGAGGUCAACCCCCCCACAUUGGUACUGAGACACGGACCAAACUCCUACGGAAGGCAGCAG